GCGGAUUUCAGAGCCCCCGUUAAACUCGGAGAGCCACUCAAGUAUUCUGCCAAUGAGCUCCUGCACAUUCCCUCCCUCAAAUGAGCUGAUGGUUCAAAGGAUUUUCUCUACUGUGUCCUGUAUGAAUUCUAAAAUUAGAUGCUGUUCUAAGUGCUUUACAUGCACGUGCCCAUUUAGUAAUCAAAUUGACCCUAAGG